GACGAACGCUGGCGGCGUGCUUAACACAUGCAAGUCGAACGGAAAGGCCCUGCUUGUGUGGGGUGCUCGAGUGGCGAACGGGUGAGUAACACGGGAGUAACCUGGCCUGGACUUGGUGAUAACUUCAGGAAACUGGGGCUAAUACCGGAUAGGAGCGCCUGCUGCAUGGGGGGGGUUGGAAAGUUUCGGCGGUUGGGGAUGGACUCGCGGCUUAUCAGCUUGUUGGUGGGGUAGUGGCUUACCAAGGCUUUGAAGGGUAGCCGGCCUGGGAGGGUGACCGGGCACAUUGGGACUGAGAUACGGCCCAGACUCCUACGGGAGGCAGCAGUGGAGAAUAUUGCACAAUGGGCGGAAGCCUGAUGCAGCAACGCCGCGUGCGGGAUGACGGCCUUCGGGUUGUAAACCGCUUUCGCCUGUGACGAAGCGUGAGUGACGGUAAUGGGUAAAGAAGCACCGGCUAACUACGUG
rnacentral:rRNA from 1 species